rnacentral:rRNA from 1 species
AUAAUUUUAGAUCANGCCUGCUCUAUGAUUAUUUAAAUGGCUGCGGUAUUUUAACUGUACUAAGGUAGCAUAAUAAUUUGUCUUUUAAUUGAAGGCUAGAAUGAACGGUCUAAUGAAAAACCCCCUUUAUUAUAUUAAUAUUUUGAAUUUGAAUUUUUAGUUAAAAUGCUAAAAUUUUUUUAUAGGACGAGAAGACCCUAUAGA